rnacentral:rRNA from 1 species
GUGAGGAAUAUUGCACAAUGGGGGCAACCCUGAUGCAGCAACGCCGCGUGGGGGAUGAAGGCCUUUGGGUUGUAAACCCCUUUUCUCGGGGAAGAGGAAGGACGGUACUCGAGGAAUCAGUCACGGCUAACUACGUGCCAGCAGCCGCGGUAAUACGUAGGUGGCGAGCGUUAUCCGGAAUUACUGGGCGUAAAGCGCACGUAGGCGGCGAUUUAAGUCUGACGUGAAAGCUCCUGGCUUAACUGGGAGAGGACGUUGGAGACUGGAUGGCUUGAGGCGAUGAGAGGGGCGUAGAAUUCCCGGUGUAGUGGUGGAAUGCGUAGAUAUCGGGAGGAAUACCAGUGGCGAAAGCGGCGUCCUAGCAUUGGCCUGACGUUCAUGUGCGAAAGCGUGGGGAGCGAACGGGAUUAGAAACCCUGGUAGUCC